rnacentral:ncRNA from 1 species
CUGGAACUGGUUCAAACACCACUUUCCCAGUUUUGUUUCCAAAUAUAUGAAAUUGGUGGCUUAGUGGGNAAAAAAAACUAGGAAAAU